CCAUUAUGUAUAGAAAAGAGCGUAAUUGAAAUCGAUCUCUAAACCGCCGCAACUGGAGUUACGAAACAUUUUAUUAAUGAUAACGUUUUUGUUAAAACUAAAUAAAAGUUCAGACGAGGAGUUUAAAGAGUCAUGUAUAUUCUCUGCUCUCUUUCCUUUUUCUUUCUUCAUUUAUAUUUUUCACUAUUAAUACGCCAGAGUAUCAUAAUUAUUUGCUAACAAUACGAGUCGAAAGGCUCAAUUAUUUCGCAGGUUCGUCGAUCUCACGAGUUGAUUCCUAACGGUUCCUAACGAUUGAUACACAUCUAUGGGUGUUAAUCGAUUUCGAUUCUUCCGAGAAACUUCGUGAAUCACUCAGCCAGUCGCGAGGCGUACGUCUGCCAAUUCGCGGGUCAGAGGUCGGCUGAUCGACGGUCUGGCUUCUCGUUAAGACCCGUCACGAUCGACGCCUCUCUUUGUCAGACAGUGCGCUUAACUGAUCAGCGACGAGACGGAGGCGUCCGUCUAUUGCGAAACGUCGUGCGAGCCAAUGUGCGUUUGCGAUGCAAGUCAUUCGUGUAUGUCGACGCGCUUUCCGGCGAAAUCAAUUUUUGCUGUCUCGCUCGUUGACGGUAUCGUGAGCAUCGCAAGGGAAUUGAUAUUUUUCUACAUUCAUAUCAAGGCAUCGCCAAUGUGAAACGUCUAAUCGGUAAGCAAGCGGUUCUCGCGACGGCGAGAUUCCAGCGUUCUUACUUCUUGCUCGAGGAUCGCGCGAGGGUAUGAAGCCGCGCUUGGCCAAGGACCGUUAGGCAGAACGGGAAUAUGUUGGCGCCUCGUCUUGGCCGUUCUCCAACGUUCCCCGAUAAUCUUGCACGCGUGUUUGCUACCAACGCGAGUCGGCAAGCGACACCGUCUGCAAGGAGACAGCUACUGCCAGCGAUUACAUGGGCGCCAGCAAAUCUCCCUUAGAGAUUCAAGGGAUGAUUGAAAGGAUUGAUACAAGUCGCUCGUAUUAAACAUCAGCAUUUUGAUAAUAAACUUUGGACAUCCAACACAUGCCCGAAAUUAAACUCGAACUGUUCUAAAGCCGCAUCUUUAUUACGAAUAAAAAUAAUAUCAGAUGUUUCUGGAUUUUUCGAGUAAAGAGAUGAAGUCUAGAUGAAAUGAUUCGUUGCAAAUAUAUGCCUAAAAGCUUGCAUCAAAGAUUACAAGUUAGAAAGAAUGGGAUUUGACCGAUCGAAACAUUGUCUGCAGGUGUCGAUUGAUCAAAUCCCGAUCCCCGAUCGCAAUCUCGGUAAUCUCUAAUGAUCCGAUGCAGACCAGACUUAACGUAAGCAGAAUCGCUUAAUCCCCGAGAGUGUAAAGGACGCAGUUGCAGCCGUUAGCGGCGCCUAUGCUCUGCCGACAAGAGCAACGAGAGCAAAGCGAGAGCGACGUCUCUGAUGCGUCCUGCGCGCGCGCGCACGCUAGGUAUGCAGCGCGGAUGCUGCGAGGAGAAAGAACCCGUUGCAUUUAUAGUUCAGGGUCAGCACACUCGCGCGCAACUUCGCCUUCGGACGAAUUCGGCCCUCCCCUUCUCUACGUCGUUUCUCUCCCCAUCCCCCUCCGCUUUCCUGUUCUUUUUCUUUUUUCCCUCUUUGUAGUGAACCGCCGACUUUCUCCUUUUCCCGCGAGGAGAACGCGAGCACACCAAUUCGCAGCUGACAGUGGAGAUCUAUGGUCGCCCGCGAAAGAGAUUCCUCUUGUUAAGGCGAGAAUCGAUUUAUUGCGAAGUAUAAAACGAACUCGAGGAGACGUGGAGACGUGGAGGCCUCGUGGACCACUUUGUCUGUCAGAGCACGAAAUAAAUUCAAUGUUCAAAGGAUUGCCUUUUUCAAGUUGCAACCAUAAACGGUCUCCUACGUUAAAAUUGUUGGACCGUUGAAAUAAAGCUAUUAAACUGAAAAGUGAAUCUUAUAUGUCAAUAUCGCUAUCUUACUGAUGAUCCCUGUUGCAAUCGCGUUUUUAUUAAUCGUAUUAUUUUCCAAUGAUUCAAGUAAUUCUCUCCGCUACUUGAUUCUCCGCACCGAAAUACCUCUCCCACGAAAUUUCCCCUAAGAAAACUUUGGCGCCGACUCUUCCAACAACUUAACCGGGAAAAAGCGCGAGAUUCCUCGUGCACGGGUCAGGUCACGGAGGUAAUUCGUCUUGUUUGAGAUCGGCUGGUCGCACACCGAGUCGCACACAAAGCGAGCGAGGAGCUGAAAGCCGAGGCACACACCUGAACCUGACCGUCGCGCUGAAAGUUCCCGCCGCACGUAAACGACUUACAACCCCGUCCCGUCGUCCCGGAACGGGGAAAAGUUUUAACGGUAAAAGUUUCCCCGGUAGUUUAAUUACUUGGAAACAAUUCCGCGCCGCACAACUCCACCACCAUCCCGUGUAACAGAAGUGCGGCAACUUCCGCAGCGGUCGCACGCACACACGCAACCCUCUCCCCGUCCCUGUCCUGCUUCCCUCGCGAAGAGGAAUCGGCUGAUCGAUUUAUUAUCUGGACCGAGUGACCAGCUUUCCUAUCUCAGAGUCUGCUUGCUUGAGGGCGUGAAAAUUCCUACAUGAGCAGUCCAUUUUUUCGUUAAUAAAUAAAAUAUAACUGGAAUUCACUCAAUGGAAAAGUCGAUUAAUACGACGCGCGGGGGUCAAAAGUCGGAGAUAAUAUCGAAGUUUAUUAAUCGCAUAUUAAUCCGCAGCGCGAGACUUUAUCUCGUGUUUCUAGCGAGAGAUCGAUUACGUCGUAACGGAUCGCGAAAGGAAUGAAAAAUGGAACAAUAAAACAGGUAAAUUAUUUAGCGCUUGACCAUUCGCUCGCGGACUUGAGCGCACUCGAGAUUUACCAACAGUCGCGAUAAUAUGGCAAAUGAGCUGCAAUGAAUCAGAACAUUCGAUUACAAUGGAGAUAAAAUCUCUGCCAUCGUUUCGACGAUGAUGUAUUAGCGAACGAAGUCGUGCAUGUGUUACAAUCGCGAUAAUAAGAUUUCCAGUUUGAGAAGAAAUUAUUCCGGCGCGUGAGAAGUUAAAAGUUCGGCACAUCCGCGCGUGUGAUUCCCGCACACUGUCUUACAUAUAUACACAUAUACAGAGGCAUACACGCGAAAGUGAAACGGGCAACCGAGUCAAAGUUCGAGCGCACGUCUUCUAGCCGGCAAGUGCAGUCGUCCAAGUGGAGCUCUUACAGGAAGUUGGACAACGAGUCCCGUGAAAGAUUACUCACAGCGAGCCGAGAGGAACUCCGUUGCCCCGGUGGUGUCAGAUGCGCCAAUGGCUCCGGAACUUGUUCCCUAACUAAAUUCCAUCGCCCCUAACGAAGUAAGUUUCCAGUCGUGAAGCGGAAGUGGCCGACGCCACCACCCGCGAGCGCAUGCCGCUUCGCGUUCGCCGAUCGCGUGGGCUCUAAAUCGUUCUGACGAUCUUCUGAUCGCGUCUCGCGCGUGAAACCUGCACUAUGCCGUGGCGGCGAGGAAAUCGGGAAGGAAAUUGGAUAACGGAUUGCGUCGCUGUAGGUUGAACAGCGGAAAUUGUCAUUGUGCAUGCACUCGCGAACUUUGCGAUUUUCACGUAGUACCUUCACUCAUUUCUACUCGCGAAACAGCACACUGCUUAAUGAUUAAAAAGCGAUUGGAGCAAUCGUUUCUUUGCUAAGCAAGAUCUUGUUUUGUUACUUUGAAUUUAGCGCUUUUAUUAUACAAUAAAUGGUUUUAUGUUACUUUGUAUAGACUUCAGGAAUAAACAAAAUAUUAUUUGA